CAGGCAUUCAUUCAACACUUCCUCUUAUCUCCAUAACAAUGCUUAUAGGUGGUUUUUUAAAAUGUAUUACGUAGAGGAAUGUUUCCCCAAAAAUCUAAUUUCUAAAAUGUUUAUCCUAAAACAACUCCCCGCUAACAUAUACAUAUUUUAUGCAUUUUUUUCAUGUAGCCUAUGAACCAAGAACUGCACUGUAAGAUUGAGAAAAUAACAUACUAAUCCAGGUGGAUAAAAUCAGUCAUUAAUCAGAAUGGAGACUGCAGUCAAGAAAUUAGUUGAAAACUGGAACUAGAAAAUACUAUGGACAAACAGAGAGACAAGUUAAUGGGUCCAAGAGCAAACCAUGCCUGAACUGUCCCUAAAAACCAAGAUGUCCAUAUCAUGAGAAGACAUGACUCACUAGACAAGGUGAUAAUGUUUGGCAAGUUAGAAGGUAAUAGGAAGAGAGGAAGCAUGCAUUCCAGAUGGAAAGACUCAAUCAAGGAAGCCAGGGCCCUAAGUUUACAAGACCUAAGCAUAGGGUGACUGAAGGCCAUUCAUUCAUGAGUCACCAUCAGCUGAAGUCAACAUGACAACAAUGAUAUCACCUCUCCUUUUUCUCUUCUCAAAGUUAAACAUCCAGCUCUCUUAAGCGGUUCCGUGUUGUACUUGGUUUCCAGAACUCUGAAAAUUUUGGUCACUCUCCUAGAUGCUAGUGUAACUUCACUGUCAGUAGCAUACAUAGACAGAUUAUGACAUCAAUUUUGGAUUUUUUCCCUUUAUUUCCUACCUUUGAUAUGAUACCUUUGUCACAUAUGAUUAAGUUUUUGGGUUUUCAUUCAUUUGUUUCUAUAAGUAUAUUGAAUUAAUCCAGUGCACCAUGAGCAAAUAAAAGUAAAAAACUUGCACAACCACAAUUCUUAUACUGCUGAACCAGUAUUGCAUGGGCUAAUAUUAACAGCCCUGUAAAAACAGGAAAGCCUUUAGUGAAGAGGAGAUAGAUAGAUAGAUAGAUAGAUAGAUAGAUAGAUAGAUAGAUAGAUAUAUGGGGCCUAUGCAUCUCCCUCUGUUUGUGAUACAAUCAUUUCUCUGAUUGAAACAAACUGACCAACUGUGACAGACCACUA